AUAGUAUAAAGUUUUAGAUAAACAAAUAGGAAAAUUUUAGUUAAAAAAAAACACAAAUGGGAAAAGAAGACAACUACUCUCUUUCUCAUUGUAGUUCAAAAAGUAAUUAUUAAAAGUAUAUAAUAUUCGGAACCGAGAUAAUUUAUCUUAAAAAGUUUUACAAAGAAAAAAUUGUAAUUGUGGAAAUAGGAAAACUCACGGUGACUUCCUGAAUGGUGAGAGCGGUUUCAUCUUUCAUGCACCUUGAUUUGUCCACAAG
rnacentral:lncRNA from 1 species